rnacentral:rRNA from 1 species
GACGAACGCUGGCGGCGUGCUUAACACAUGCAAGUCGAACGGAAAGGCCCUGCUUGUGUGGGGUGCUCGAGUGGCGAACGGGUGAGUAACACGUGAGUAACCUGCCCUUGACUUUGGGAUAACUUCAGGAAACUGGGGCUAAUACCGGAUAGGAGCUCCUGCUGCAUGGUGGGGGUUGGAAAGUUUCGGCGGUUGGGGAUGGACUCGCGGCUUAUCAGCUUGUUGGUGGGGGAGUGGCUUACCAAGGCUUUGACGGGUAGCCGGCCUGAGAGGGUGACCGGCCACAUUGGGCCUGAGAUACGGCGCAGACUCCUACGGGAGGCAGCAGUGGGGAAUAUUGCACAAUGGGCGGAAGCCUGAUGCAGCAACGCCGCGUGCGGGAUGACGGCCUUCGGGUUGUAAACCGCUUUCGCCUGUGACGAAGCGUGAGUGACGGUAAUGGGUAAAGAAGCACCGGCUAACUACGUG